GACGAACGCUGGCGGCGUGCCUAAUACAUGCAAGUAGAACGCUGAAGAGAGGAGCUUACUCUUCUUGGAUGAGUUGCGAACGGGUGAGUAACGCGUAGGUAACCUGCCUUGUAGCGGGGGAUAACUAUUGGAAACGAUAGCUAAUACCGCAUAACAAUGGAUGACACAUGUCAUUUAUUUGAAAGGGGCAAUUGCUCCACUACAAGAUGGACCUGCGUUGUAUUAGCUAGUAGGUGAGGUAAUGGCUCACCUAGGCGACGAUACAUAGCCGACCUGAGAGGGUGAUAGGCCACACUGGGACGGAGACACGGCCCAGACUCCUACGGGAGGCAGCAGGAGGGAAUCUUCGGCAAUGGGGGCAACCCUGACCGAGCAACGCCGCGUGAGUGAAGAAGGGUGUCGGAUCGUAAAGCUCUGUUGUAAGUCAAGAACGGGUGUGAGAGUGGAAAGUUCACACUGUGACGGUAGCUUACCAGAAAGGGACGGCUAACUACGUG
rnacentral:rRNA from 1 species